UACGUAGGGACCAAGCGUUGUCCGGAAUUAUUGGGCGUAAAGAGCUCGUAGGCGGCUGUCCACGUCGGGUGUGAAAGCUCAGGGCUCAACCCUGAGAUGCCAUUCGAUACGGGACGGCUAGAGGUAGGUAGGGGAAAGUGGAAUUCCUGGUGUAGCGGUGAAAUGCGCAGAUAUCAGGAGGAACACCGGUGGCGAAGGCGGCUUUCUGGGCCUUACCUGACGCUGAGGCGCGAAAGCGUGGGGAGCAAACAGG
rnacentral:rRNA from 1 species